ensembl:lncRNA
GUAAGUCUUUCUACUAUAAACUAUUCCCGUUGUUUUUUCUUCAUUCGAGUAGAAUCUGUAUAAGAAUAAAGGGACAUAUUCAUUCACCACACUAGUCAAUGUUGGGUUUGUGUCUUCAAAUACCGAAUUUCAAAUGGCUAACGUGAUUAUCGGGUCGGCGGUUAGCUUAAAUGUAGCAGCCACAUGUCUGACCACGCAACACCAAACUGAACAAAAACGACACGAGGUAACGUUAAUGUCAGCGAGGACGAGCUGUCGUGGUGUGUUAUGUGUCAUGCUUGCACAUUUAUUUCAGUAAAAUGACGACAAAAAUUCGUUGAAGCAGUCAUAUUUAUUAUUUCUAUUUGAGCCGGAGCAAAUCGCUUUAGCGUCACGUCACAAUUUGGUCGAGCAUAGCGGGACAUGUCGCGGACGUGCUCAUAGGACCCGCUAGUUCACCGGCAGACGGCGGAAUGCACCGAGUCGACCCAGUUAACGUGAACGGAGCCGCGGCUCCGAGAGGCUCGGUUCCCGUUAGCUGCUGCUGUAGCCAUAGACAUAUAAAGAGUAGACGCUGCAUUGGCUGCUGAGGCGCAAACAAAUAUUUUUUAUUAUAUUAUAUACCAGAAUAUUAUUACUGUUACGCCUACUAUGAAUAUUAAAAUACGC